rnacentral:lncRNA from 1 species
AGAAUUUUUAGAGGCCUCUCACCAUCAGGAUGGGACUAUAUAAGGAGAACAAAGAAUAUGUUAAAAGGGGAGGAAACCCUAAGAAUCGUUUUUCGACGGCGAGGAGAAUAUCAAAACCCUAACGAAAUCAAGAAGGAGAAGAAGGAGAUAACCUAGACUUUGUGCUUUUCCGCAGAGAAGACGCGAGAUUCCAUUUGAACGCCGUCGGAGAAUCAAACGCGCCGGAGUUUAGAGGACCCAACAUCACCGUCAAUAUCUUCGUGGAAAGGUAAGCCUAAAACUUAAUUCUGGUCUGGUCUUUGCUCUCCAUUCCUUUUGACUUAUGCUUCAUCAUCGUCUUUCCUUGCUGUACUAUCUUUGGGUGUUGCUGUGCGUUUCCCUUCAUGUUUCGACUCUUCCAUUUUUUUUUCUUCUGUGAUCGUUUGCUCCUACUUGAGGAAAGGUCAUGUUUUGGUUAGGAUAUUUUGUUUCACUUUUUAAAACUAAUAAUAAUAAUAAUAAUAAUAAUAAUAAUAAUAAUAAUAAUAAUAUAUGUCUUUAAUAUUGUUUAAAACAUUCAGAGACUUGUGUUGGGAAUUGAUACCCAUGCUGCAGCAGUUUUGACCUUUCCUUUCUGUCGGCUUCUCAUUGAUUUGCUAAUUGACAAUUAAUGCUGGCCGCGUCCCCAUGACUACUGCCCAACGGCCACGCAGCUAGGAUGUGUUUGAUAUUCCCGGUGCCACCUCAUCUCGGGCCAAGCCGGAGCGGGUCUCAUUUGACCCGACCCAAAACAGUCCCAGAGACUGUUGGGUGAUCAUCAAGCCCAAGUAUUUGUUGCCCACCGCCCACCUUUAGUUAGGUUGUUUUCCUUUUUUUUCUUUCUAUUUUCUUUCGCCUUUUGCUUAUGUGAUAGGGUCACUGUCAAAGUAACAGUCGACUGUCUGUGGCCUGGUGGAGGGGAAGUUGUGCCAACUCCCUUUAAGUGGUGGGUUCGAUACUUGUGCAUUACAUAUUUGGUUUUAUAAUAUUUUAAUUUCUUUUGCGUAUUUCUUUUUAAUCCUCCCAUGUUCAUGUUUUAUUAUAAUUUCUCUGAUACUCAUUAUUUUUAAUGUUUACUUCUUUUAUUUAUUUUUAAUUGACAAAGCCUCGAUUUUAAUUUAUGGAUUCAACUACUCUCAUGUUUGUUUAUCCAUGAUUAUUUUAUCGAGAUAACGAUAGAAUUUCGUCGCGUUUCGGUUGGUCACACAUGAUCAUUCAAUGUUGACAUGAUGCAUAAACUGGUUUUGAGUACAGUACUUAGUUG